CUCUUACUUGUUUUGCCAGCAAGAGAAACACAUAGAUUGGAUUCGGAUUGGUGCUUUUUUCCUGGAAUCAUCAGCAGUAAUUGUGACAGAGAAGCUGACUAGUCCUCCCCAAAAGAUCCCUCAGAAGGAGACUCUUGAACAGAUACUGCAAUCCCGUGGCUUAUGUGUGCUAACCAAUAUCAAAACUGGAAUCUGGAUUGCUGAUCUGCAGCUCGUACGUUGCCCAGUCUGUGACCUUAAUACAUGUGAUGGUGAGCAAUCUGAAAAUGCUCCCAUUGAACCAAGACUCUUGAACAGAUGGUACAAUCCCGUGGCUUAUGUGUGCUCACCAAUAUCGAAUUUCAUGUCAUGAGUUCACUAGAGACUUUAGAGAGCAGUGGCGGAUCUUGGAGAAUUUUACUUGGGGGGGCGAAUAAGUAAAAUUUAUGGUCACUAACAUAUAUAUUACUGAUAGAUAAAUAUUCUAGAUAUUAUUUUGUAUAGAAGGAUAUAAUUUUGUGAAUAUUCGGUAAAUAUCUUUUGAGCUUUCCUAACGUAUUAGGAUUCAUCAUUAUAGCCCUAUAUAUGAAUCAAUGGAAUACACUCCAACCCAAGGAGUUUGAUAUUAUCUAACAUGGUAUUACAGCUUAGGUUUUAGAUCUAAUCCUAGCUUCCGCAAUUUUUUUACUUUACUAAUUUUUUUUUCCUUUGCCCUGUAUAUAUGAAUCAAUGGAAUACACACCAAUCCAAGGAGUCUGAUAUUAUCUAACAAUUACUUUUUUAAAUAGAUUCUAAUGGGUGAACAAUACAUGAAAAUUUAAUAAGCAAUUUUUUUUAGCACUUUGUUAGCAGUAAAUCUCUGUUAAUCACUAUGAGAAACG